UGCUUAGCCCUGUCUCCCUCUCUAGCUAAUUGAAUACCAGCUUUCUCUUAUAUUAGUAUUAUAUGUCACUUCCUUGUCCUAUUCUUUUAGUUUUAGUAUGCAUGGGGGUAAGGAGAUAUUGAUUACACAGUAGUUAGGAGCUCAUAGUUUCGUGCGCUUACGGCGUGCUCUUUCUUUUAUUUUUAUGACAAAUGGCCGCCAGUAGACGACAAUAGGUGAGGUGUCCGGUACGUGCUUCUAAUGAUUAUUCCAGGCUGAGCACUUCAUUCUUAUGCACCCAUUUCACAUGUUAGGUGUAGCUGGUGUAUUCGGCGGCUCCCUAUUUAGUGCUAUACAUGGGUUCCUUGGUAACUUCUAGUUUGAUCAGGGAAACCAUAGAAAAUGAAUCUGCUAAUCAAGGUUACAGAUUCGGUCAAGAAGAAUAAACUUACAACAUUGUAGCUGCUCAUGGUUAUUUUGGCCGAUUGAUCUUCCGUUUCAACAAUUCUCGUUCUUUACAUUUCUUCUUAGCGGCUUGGCCGGUAGUAGGUAUUUGGUUUACUGCUUUAGGUAUUAGCACUAUGGCUUUCAACCUAAAUGGUUUAAAUUUCAACCAAUCAGUAGUUGAUAGUCAAGGGCGUGUUAUUAAUACUUGGGCUGAUAUUAUUAACCGUGCUAACUUUGGUAUAGAAGUUAUGCAUGAACGUAAUGCUCACAACUUCCCUCUAGACCUAGCUGCUGUUGAGGCUCCAUCUAAGAGGGAACACUGUAACAACAACUAGAUCGGGUCUAUUCCCAUUCCUUCACCGAAGUGGUUGACGAGCUCAAAAGUUCCUUUUUUCUUACUUUUCGUGGCUGAUUAGAUCACUGAACUUGGUUCACUGACGCUAAGAGAAGGAACCAUUGGAUUAUUUAUAUAUCCCUCCCUUUCCACUAGGCUUAAAUCGGCCAGUAAAUUCCUGGUGGACCAAAUACAGCAACCUCACCUUUAGCCAUGCAGAAGAGGAGAUUCCCAGACUAUGAUGCCUGGCACCGAUCAACUCUGAAAGUCCUGGAUUUUUUGUACUCUCUCUGAAGAAACUAUUGGAUAUGUAUUUAGACUUGCAACAGCUCAGGAGGUCUCUCUUUGGCUGAUCAUUUCAAUCAUUGUUCUAUCUUCUAUCUCCCGUGACUUUUCUUUGCUAAUAAGCUAGCUCUCUGCAAAUGAUAAGAAAGGUAGAACUAGGGAGAUAAGAGAUAAGAGAUUUCUUUCCAAUUCCCUUUUUUGGAGGCCAAGCGAGCUAAAUGGUAUAAAAAUAACUCGCCAGUCAAUGGGAGUUUGCUUAGGAAAAUAAGUGCAGGUCAGGUUCGGUUCGUUCCUUUCAGCAGUAUCGAAUAAGCCAAAUGAAAGUGAGAAAGCAGGCCAUCUAUCCGUUGACUUGCCCCGGAGUGAGCUGCAUCGACAGAAGAGAGAAGAGAGAGUGGAAGCGGUAAGUGAACUUGACUUGAAAGAGAAUUCCCACUUGACGCCCGAACAGCAUUUUCAGAGGGAAGAUAUCGACCAUACAUAGGGAGAGAGCUCAAGUUAGACGGCGCCUUAGCGAAACUUUCUCACUCUACAUUCAUUCCCUAAUCACACAUGACUUUGAACGUUGAUUUGACUUCACAUAGCUUUUCGUCUCCUUGAUAGCUGGAAGAGAACGUUGAGAAGCUGAUCUGUCUUUCCGCGCAGAAUCCUCUUUAUCUAAAGUAAAGAGCAGAGUUGCGAUAGAGAACCUAUUUGCUUUCUUCGACUCCCUUGCCCCUGUCCUUGCAGCAAAUUCAAAGAGUUGUGUGGCAUUGACUAACUCACUAUUCCUGCCUGAAGGAAAUGCAUGAGCGAAUCUUUCAGUUGCAAUUCCCCUUUCCAAAUCUGAAUCAAAGAACGGGAUUAAGGGGAAAUAAAAGUCGGCGAUGGGACUGAUGCUCUUUCAUUGCUUCGAGGAUCACAUUUCUUUUCAGGUCAGAAUCUGAUUGAUGCGUUGUAACAUCCACUGACUCAAAGAACUACCCUUUAGUAAAUAAAUCCCAGGGAAAGUCCAUUUAUGUUAAAAUCUCUAGUGUAGUGGCUGGUUCCUAUACAACUACAUCAUAAGAAGAAGCCAGGUCUGAGGCCAGCGAGCUCAAGAUCAGGAGCCAAAGCGGACCGAAGAAGGCUUCAUCUGCUCCAAGCCCCUAAAGAAGUGAAGGGACUUGCUUUCCUAAAAAAAAAUGAAAUGGAAAGAGUUCGUUUCUUCCUCAAAUUGUAAACAUGGGUUGUCCAACUGGAAAUGAUAACAGAAUGCAUAGGUCAAACGAAGGAGUCCCAAUAAGCGGAUGAAUAUAGUAUACCUAUUUCCUCUAUGAGGGAGAAAGCAAAUUGAAGAACCCGCGGAUAUGUGCAAAACUUCAAUUCUUCUUAGCCAAGGCUUUCCAACUCUUAUAGUAGAUAAUAUCUAAAGCGAUAGAGCUGGUGGAUGGAAAUUAAAAUGUCCUCCAGAAUGAAAGUGAUAAAAUAGAUAAAGAAAGGGCGCAAAACGCAGUCCUCCAACGGAAUCAAUGGCAUUCCUUUCUUACUAGUCCUUACGAACUCUACAUUGCUUACAAGGUUGAAUAGCAGAAAGCCUUAGCUUUAGCUACUUCAAUCUCUCCUUUCCUCAUAUUCGAGCAAGGAAAGCUGUACAAAGGAAAAGGUAUUCUAAAGACUUGUUUGCAAAAAAAUGCAAAAUCUCUUACUUAGAAAAAGUACCUGCAGAUUCCUGCCCAAAAUCAACUGCUAUUGAAUCUAAGCCAAUUGAAUGGAAUCAGAUCAUCCGUUUCUGGUAUGUUGGGUGUCAUCCUAUCCAGUACUGGAUGCAGUAGAAGGUGCUCUCGGGCGAAUUCCCGGCUAAAAAGUACACUGAGUUAGGCGAGAAUUGUCUCGAGAUUGACAGAUUGACUUAGGGGAAUUAGGAGUUGUUUGGAGGUGGGUACCACGGAAGAGGUAGGUUAUCCCUGAAAAAGGGACUCGGAUAGGAAUAGAGACUAGAAGCUGACAGCAAGCUCUUAGUCUUGGCUUCUUCUUCCUUUAUUUUAUGGAGACAGGGUUACUACCAUACUUGGAGCACGAAUUCAUAUGUAAGAUGCCCAGUUGGAUCACUAAUUCGUAAAUUGACAACCUCUAGAAAGGGCCUUUUUCCCAAAAGAUUCCUAAUUUAAUUUCGUCGAUAUUGAAUACCUUAUUGACUUUGAGACUACUAAUAAAUAGCAACGAAGCUGACUCGACCAGUUUACAACUUCGAAAGAAGGAGAGCGGAGAUCUUUCUUUCAAUCGAAGGGUCAUGGGUUUUUUCAUAGGCACCGGACUGAGGUAUGAAAUGAAGGACGAGUUUCACUCGCUUCGGGCUCAAGUUUAGAUAAAAGAGUCCAAUGAGCCCAAAUGGAAAUUCGAUAGAAAACUAAAGCUGAGAAAGUCACAAUCCAUUGAAUAAGAUCGGCUAAAGGUGAGAGCUCAAAAAAGAAAGAAAAGAAGUCGCUCACCCGCCUACGAUUGAUUGGAGACUUAUUCAAUAGGUCCUCCUUUAGGGGUCUAUUUUCUCUGACUUGACUCAGCUUGACCUACUUGACUCAGCGGUUAGAGUAUCGCUUUCAUACGGCGAGAGUCAUUGGUUCAAAUCCAAUAGUAGGUAAACCCGGCCGAAACCCCAGCAAGAAAACCUCCUCAAAAUAUUUCCCUGGCAACCUUUUAAGGGAACCCGCCCAGAAGCUUCGAUUUGUCAAAGCUGCGCUAAAAGCCUUGAAUUCAAAAGUUGAAGGUCGAUAAAAGAAUAAGAAAGGCCAUAGAAGAACUAGACGCCAUUCAAUCCCAGCUAUCCUUUUUCCAGUUCAAUGAAAGGCUCGCAGAGCAGAAGAGUAUAUUAUCAAAUUGGAUGAGUUGAACGGAUACAGAAAAGGAUUGGGACCACAAUAUCAAAGACUUCCACGCUACACUCACAGAAAGAAGGGCAAGGAAGACUAUCAAUAUCAGUAUCAAGAGAAUAAAGGAUGAGAGUGGAACCUGUGGAAGCCUACAUCAAAAGAAAAGACAGGCGGAACUCUACUUUAUUAAUCUAGUGGGCACAGCUAGCAGAGUGGAGGGCCUCUAUAAUAUAAUAGGUUAGGCUUCUUUCUUCUGGGAAUUGGCAGUUGCUUUAGCAGCUGUGCAUAUCUUAACUAGUGGGCUUAGUCCGAAAAGAAUAUUGCCUGCUCUUCGUAGAGCAACUAUGUCACUUCUGUCUAUUAGUGAAAGGCUAAGGCUCCAUCCAUCCGAACUUUCGAAUGAUUCCUCUAUCAAAGUUAUGAAAUAAGUUUGUUAGAGAAAGCUAGGUUUCCCUAAAAAAGGGUUUUCUCGCUCAGUGUCAUCGUUCCGGUGAUCACCUUCAGGUCAGGAUACUAAAGUGGAAUGGAUUGCAUUUCAAUCUUGCCUAUAAUGUUGAUUAUUUUCCCCAGCGUAUGUGGUCUUGAAGAGCCUUUCAGCGGCUUAAUAAAGGCUGGAAUUUACGGACCGGACUACUACGUGUCGGUUCCUUUUCAAUCUAAAAGAGCAAAAGCCUAUUCUCCCACCUACCAGCAGCCUAAUUCCCCCUCUUUCCAAUCCUAGCUCUACGGUUGAUUCGAGAAAGAGGAAGAGGACCGAAGGAACAACCUAAGAGACCAAUCCAAAUCCAAACCUCACCUCUUCGCUUCUUCAACAAGAAAGAAGAAGACUCCCACCUGUACGCCGACGCAGCACUCGCGGUUACUUAGCGGAAUUCACGGAGCAGUCACGGAUACCACCAUCUGGGCAGACUAGAAAUUCGCUAUCGCUUUUCUGUUUUUUAAGAUUAGGCUAAAAAAGUGGUUAGUAGCACCUUGACGUGCCAUGAUAUUUACUUUGCUUCUGUGAGGCGGUAGGCUCGAUUGUUUUCCAUGUGAUGAUAGACCCUUUCGCCCAUACCGUGACCACGUGAAGCAGGCGAAGAGCUUUGUGUCACCAUGUCAACUUGUAUGUGUUCAGCAUAUCAUAUAUUCUUUUGGAUAGUUGGACGGAAGUCCUAUCAACCUACAGGAUCUGACGCUCAAAAGUACCCACGCGUUUCCUACGAGUACUUAUCAUGGCGGUGUAGCGCCCUUGGCAAGCCCUGCAAACGACACCACUGGUACCCUAACUUAGUCUAAUCAUAGAUCUGUAUGAAGCACUCAUUUCUGAUUCUACCAAUUCCCAAGACGGAAAGUACUUUUGAUCAUACAUUCGCACGUGUUCUAUGGAUGCAGUGGUCGAUCCAUAUGUCGUGCAGAGGCAAGGGUAUUCAAAUGUCAUAGUUGAGCCAGCUCAUCAGCAUCAAUAAAAGAACCUUUUGUAUAUCAAUUGCGUCAUCACGACUAGCACGGUUAUCAUAGCUUCAAGAUCUCAUGCUUCCAUAGCUCAGCUGCUUUCUCCUUUCUCUGCACUGUGCCCUUGCCCAGCUUACUCUGGUGCCUCUAGGGAAGAAAAGAGGCUUUAAAGGUUUUGCUACUAUAACUAUAGGAGAUGAACUUUUGCAAUUCCAAUAUAGGUCUUACGAAAGGAAAUCGCGUUGGUAACUUUCUCGCUAUGGGAGAUGGAAUGGAUUUCUCGAUAAGCCCACUACUGCAUGGGAUCGGUAUAGAUCGUGACGCUCAUCUCAAGAUCUAAGGAGAUGUAAAUGUGUCAAGGAAAUGGCAUCUGACUUUAAUUCCCACUAUUCUAUAAUAGCACUCAAUAUGGUGACGAAACAAUGGUGACCAACUCCCACAAUUGAGGAGCAAGCCGGGAUCCAAGCCCAAGCAGCCAAUGAAAAAGCCACUUGUCUCUGUCAACUUCAUUUCAUUUUCGCUCUAGGAUUGACAUGCAAAGUAAGGACUUAGAUUAGCCGAGGAGCUGUGGCUGCUGGACUCGAUUUGACUUUUGUUAACGAUCGACUAAUUAACCCUUUAUCAGAUGGAAGCAUGGGAUAGACUUGUCUGAAAUGAGCUGGUCAUAAUAGGAAUUAGUGUCUGCACUGUCUGCUUUAGCGUCGUGGUCCCACCAUUUGGUGGCGGAAAGAGAGCAUAUUCACGCUUCUAUAUAAGGACGAGAGCCCUGGACCGGGUUUUGCAUGACAGCCCAUCUCGCGACCCUAACUAACUUUUGUUCUAAACGGGGACUCCAGUGCAUUCUGAAGCAAGUACGUAUGCUUUUAAGCCAAAGGAACGAAAACUCCCGAGCAACACUAUCGGUAGUCAAAGGAAGAGAGAAGGUCCUACGAUCAUUCCUAAACAGAGGAGAGGGAGUAGAAAUUGCUAAGGAUUUUACAGAAAAAUCACAGAUCAAACUUAACACAGAGAAAAAUGAUGUGACUGUUUAUCGGUUGAGUAUAGAGUCAUCUCGCGUAGAGUCAUUUCUAAAAGUAAUGUAGUCAUAUGGUAUCAGCCAGUAGCACUAAGGAGCAUUCUAUAGCAUGGUGCAUCGGUUGACUAUCAAGAGUGGUCAAGUCCAUUGAGAACUAUUUCCGGGUAUAGGAGCAUUUCAGGGUCAAGAUCCAAUCGAAGAAAGGGCACAGGGCAUGCCAGUAUUCCAGUUCUUAGCUUCUUGGCUUGGGCUAAUCACGAGCCUGGGUCUAGCUAAUUGGCUGCAGGCACCGGUGAUGAGAUUGGGCACCUUUCGCGUUUCAAAUUGAAAGGAUUCCAGGACCAGAAUGAAGGUCGUCAGUCCCUCCCGAUCACUGCUCUCGACGACUCGACGAGGUAAGGUCUCGAGAUGCGUGUCCCUCUUUUCGUAUUGAUUAGCGCCCGGACGAUAGUAGUUUGCCCUUGCUGUUUCUUCGACUGUUGCUUUGUCGCAUUGAUGCUUUCCAUCGCUGCUUUACUCCGCUUGUCAUCUUGCUCUUGCUGCUCCCCAUGUUUGUUCUUUUGCAUUGGUAGCUCUUUGUAGUAUUCCAUGAGUUGGGCUAAAACGCUACCCUCCGUUACUUUGAUGCUAGAUAGGUGGGAUUCGAUUGAUUAUGUGAUGUUGCCGCUGCUGCUCCUCGUCGCGAUGAACAGACCAAGUUAGGCUAACGCAAUCCUAGUCAGAAGACAAAAACUUCUCUUUUUAUUCCUAUACUUGGACAAAUAAGGCGAGUAGAAGAAUAGACUGAGAUGCUUCUUCAAAACAAAGAAGUCACAUCAAUAAUGGGACUAACCAUAAGGGAGUUGGUAGUAUCCCAUUGGGGGGAAGCAGUAGAAUGGCAAUCGCAAGGUUUGACCUCUUUGUAGCUAGCCUCCCUUCUAUGUGUUAGUGAGCGCCCAUUUAGUGGAAAAGCGAGGGAUCAGGUGGAGUUAUCCCUUGUAGUCAAAACACAGUCCGAAAUCCGCCUCAUUGUUUUCGUCAUCAGCAUUGUCUUCGGCAUAGCUUUAGCCGUUAGCCCUCCAUCUCGAUUCCGGAAUUUGGUGCAGACUUGGAGUGACUUCGCAGAGGGAAGGGUUGUGGCUUUGACAGAUAAAUAGGUUGUCAUUAGACAAAUCGGGGAGUUAGGCCUGGCACAGCUGAAUCUAGCUAGGGAACUAAGUAGCAGCGGGUUGCGGCACAAAAGAAGUUGACACUUCAGCCAUCGGCACAAUCCAAUAAUCUCAAGUCAACUCAGGGUGGCAUAGAGUAUUAGCCCCUUAGCUUUUAGUCGAAAAGUUUAGGCCUGAUGGGAAUACAGACUACAAAGUUUGCUCAGCAGCGGAAGCACUUUUUUUUAGUUAUCAAAUUAGAGAGUAGUGCCAGGCAAUGAAGGCCCGGUUUAUGCGAGCAAGAUAUUCAUACCUUUCAUACCAUCCGAAGGCUGAACUAAGAGUGCAUAUGUACUAUCUUCUAUUCUUUCUAUUCUAUUGGAUUAUUGGAUUUCUAUCUUCUAUUUCAUUUCAACAUUCCUUCUAAUUAUUGUUAUUGGAUUUCAGCAAUCUAAGCAGAAAAGCAUGAAGUUAAGGAAAGCACGGAAGAAGAAAAGGCCAAUGCGAAGUAGUUUGCCAACCUUUGACUAGUCCCAUUCUAUCGGUUAAGGAGGCCAGGAAAGAUCCUCAGGUAGAACUCAGUUUGGGAACAAAAACUUUUCCGAGCCCAGCAAAAUAAUCGCAAGGAGCCCAGCUUCAAACUAAUAGCCCAGCUCCAUAACAGGCGAGCAGCCAACAAACUAUGACCCGAGGCAAGGAACAUUCCCCAUCCAGCUCAGCCCGGCAAGUGAAACAUAAAACACAAUUUGCACUCUUCCAGCCGACUUCUCAGCAUAGCAGGACCAACCAAUCAGCACAUUUGGCACUUACGCCAGCAAAGCAUAUAUGCAAGUCAGGCUCAAGAUUCACACCCAAACUAGGCUCAGCAGCAUAAAGAUGCCCGUGGUAUAGACUACUCGACUUAGACUAAGAAGGAACCGAGAAAGUAAGCCAAGCGGCGUAGACCAAUAAUCAAUGUAGACUUUGACACCUAACAAUUGCACUAGAUUCAAGGAAACCUACCAAGGAACAAUCACAUCGGGAUUAGCAAGUCAGGCUCCGCAUUCGUACUACCAAGCUAAGCAGAAAGAUUACCGGUAAAUGGAUUCCUUUACUUAGAAGUCCACUCACCCGAGCAAGGAAGAAAAGCAAUGCAAGGACCAAUCCAACUAAGGACAAUCAAACAAUACCAGCAUGGGAGAAAAAGGAGACUCAUCACAUUCCAUCAGUCACUCGAGUCAAAGCAUAAAGCAGAGCAAUCGUACUCCACUCAAGAAUAAUCCCAUCAAACAAAAAUGGGCGAUUCACAUUUCCCUUCCCUCGACCUGGCUCUCUUCAACUUGUUUCGACCGGCUUCUAUAUUCUGAAUGUUUCAACCAAUUUAACUUUCACCCUUAUCGUUCUAAAUGAUCUUUCUCUUUGACUUCGAGUUUCAGUAUUCGUGUGACUUAUGCUCCACUUGAUUAGCGUAGCUGCCUUAGCUUGCCCCGACUUGACUGAUUGGCUGGGUUCGCUUCACCUCGCUCGGCUUAGUUGGAGGACUACAGAAAGAGAAGCAUGACAAGCAUGACGUUCCUUAAUUAUAUCUAUAUAUAGUUAACUAUCCGUAUAUCAUAGUAAGGAACCGAAAAGUAGUUACCCAUUCACGUACAUCGGUUGUGUCGAAUAUUUGUAAUCAAUCGGUCAACCAGACAUCACGUAACUAUUCAGAUCCAACUUCUAGAAAUAGGUUUCAGUCAGCUCGAUGAAAUAGACUAAUAUUGACCAUUUAUGUCAGAUCCAAUAGCUUGCCUCGAAUGCCAGCAUGAAACCUAAUUACGAUAGCGGUGGCGAAGACUUGAAGUAAUCACUUUUUCCUGGACAAUCGGCCAGCUAAAGGUCAGACCCAAUAAUAGCAUAAUUUCACCCAUCAGUGGUUGGUACCAGUCCGUAAAAGUCCAGCACUUAGGUAGCAGCCCCAUCAACUGUACAAUACCGACCUAACAGGACCAGUAUCCACCAUAAAAACCGUAGCAUAACAAGCUAGGUUCCCAUAGCAUAUAAAGGUAGGGCCUAGUCUAAUAGACUGAAGCACUAAUCACAAGGAAUCACAAAUAGCAUCCCAUGGACAAGUAUUUCACCAACAUACAGAGGAGCGGACCAAUUUCAACGAGUAGACAAAUCCAUUUGAAAAGACAACUAAAGAUUUAUUAAAUUUCCGGUUAACUUAUGAUCCCGGCCUAGCUCGUCUUUUCUUCUAUAAUAGCUUUUGGUCACCGCUAAUCAUCAGGUGACGCUGGUCAAGAUCAGUACUCUUAUUAACUUUCUGAUUGGCAUUAGUAUAGAAUGGGCGACUAAUAUAAUAGAAGCAUCAAUCUAAAAUCAACAAUCACAAGUAUCUACAUGUUUACUCAAUGCCUGGACCACCUUAACUACUAUGUCUAGUCUUCAAAAUGCCUGGCUACGCUAUAAUAAAGGCUUGCAAUGAUUGUGAUCUCUUAUUGUAUUUGAUCCUAUUAAAGUAUCAUGAGAAAGCUACGAAUGUUACUAUGCACGCAUAAAAAGAAGUGAGUCGAAUAUCUUGAGUGAGAAAUAUGGUAGCUUUACGUGCUAGAAUGGACCAAUACAUUAUAAAAAAGGAUCUCUCUUUGAAACCUUUAUAGACCCCAGGCUUCAAACCGGACCUUAGAACCCUCCAAGCUCAAGAGUACUUAUCUAGACAUCGCAAGUCAGGCUCAACAGUCGUACUACAAGCUCAGCAGCAAUAUGACCAUGGAAUGGAGUCAUUGAGAAGAAAGGGAGAUCCUACCUCCAAUACGAGAGGGAAUCGUACGAAAGGAACAAACUCAACUUCAAGCUCUUAGCCCAGCAGCAACAAACUAUGGGAUUGGUCCGAGACAAAGAAGACAGAAACAGCCCGGCCCAGUACCAAUAUCAUCUAACGAAUUGUACGAGAAAGCUACCAAUCCAGCCCGGCUCAGCAAGGCGUGGAAAAUGAAGCACAUCGGGUCCACAUGGGACAGCGCAAGUUAGACUCAAGAUUCGUACCAUCCACGACUGAGUGAAGUAGGACGAAAGCAACCAAUCUAACUAAACUAGAUAGAAUAAUGUUUCAACUAAUUAAACUAUAAACCUUGUUCGUUCUGAACUAUCUCCUUUCUUCGACGUUCACUGGGUUGGCGUGACUGGCUUAAACUCUCUGAAACCUGCUAUUAUAUCAACCGAUGAACUAACUAUCUCUUACAUAUCUCUAUAUAGAAUAGAUUAUCUAUAAUGUUUGAUUCUUAGUCUACUGCCCGUUUAAUUCCCUUGACUUGGCCUUACUUCUUUUCCUUUCUUCGCUUGGGCGUUCCUAUCAAAAGAAUCUGUCAUGCCAAAGACCCAAUCCAUGAGGUAGUCCACCGAUCCAGUAAACGAUGGAAAUGCACAAGUCCUGAAAGCAUAAGACCGAAGUAUGAGACCGAGUGACGAGCAAAUUCAGUAUUUUUGUUUCCCAGGAAAAAAGGAAAAGGGGGGCGAGAGAAGGAAAGGGGACACAGUGGUGACAAGGAUGACUCAGGUCAGUCUUCCACCCAUAAGCACCAUCAGGAAAAAAUAAAGGAAGGUAGGGACAAGCAUAAGCCACGUGAGCUUCAUUCUUUCCUAUGCAAUGGACCUCACUGGGAAGGUAAUAAAAAAUAAAAAAAAAAAGCCAUCCACUCUCUCACAGACAAGCUAAGUGAGGAGGAGCCAGAUGAGGAGUUGGGAUCUAUACAGCUGAUCAAUGCCAUGGCCAAAUCAAAAGGGCUCAUCCACGUUGAAGUCGGAAUCAAUGGGAAGAACACUCGGGCCAUCAUAAAGAGGUCUCAACGAGCCACUACUUUCUCUCAGUAGAGGAGGCAAAGACAAACGGAUUGAAGCCCAAUAAGGAAAGAGUCUGCCUCAAGCCUGUGGAAAAGCCCGUACAAGGUCUGACUCGUGCGGUGGAGCUACACAUGGGUGAUUGGAAGGGCAAGAUAGACCUGACCCUAUAAGUACAAUGGUUGGUCCCUCCGGAACCGGUAAUCUCCGUUUGACUUCCUUUCAGCAGGUGCGCAGAAGUAUUCUUUCACAAGUUUGACGCAAGUCGUACCUCCCAGCCCCCUUAGCUACUUGUACUAAAAAAAACUAGGACGGAAGUUGCUAAUCAGAGGUGGGCAGGGUUCCUCUCCACACUCUCAACCUUAAUUAUCUUUCUCCUCUGUGGCUAUAGCCUCGGGUUCGUAUGGAUGAAUCAACCGACUGUGGAAUUUUCUUUGCCUUUGCAUCUCCGUCUUUCGCGUGCCAUGGAAAUUUCUUUGCUUUCUUCAACCCUUACGGACCUUUACUUUAUUCCUAUCUGUGUGGUUACUCCUAGUACGCACUGUUUAAGUAUCCGGUUUCCUUAAGGCCUAGAUUCAAUCGUAUUUUUGAUACUUGGGAGAUAUCCGACGAGUACCUGUUUGGCAAACCAAGGAAGCUGUAUACUCAACCUCUGUCCCGAAAGUAGCUUUAAGGUCUAAUGACCCGGAUCGAGUACACUGAUUCAAUCUUUCCGGUCUUAACACCUCUACUAAGUAAGCAGCUCCAUUCAAUGACGAUCUGUCUAAGGAGUCUUCCGUCGUCGAAGUGAUUCAUUUAUUCUGUCAGUGGGCUCAUAGAUCAAGGAGUGUGCAGCAGCACAUUGUGCUAAAAGCCGGUUAUCGUGUCUGCCUCUUUCCUCUCUAGCCGCCCUUCAGGCUGGUCUAUCCAAACAAAAAGCAGAAAAAGAAACUCUAGCUAGCUAACAAACCUUUGCUUUCUCUAAGACUCCGGGUGAUUGUACUGGCUAACCUUUUCAGAGGAGAAACGCCGAGGGCAUCAAGAGCAGAAUAAAAAACAAGGCAUGUUCAAUGAGAAGGUAUGGGAUAAAGACCCAAGGGAUAUUCUAACGACAGAUACGUUCUUUCGAUACGGAGAAGGGGCUCCAAGGUUCGUUGAGACCAAACCAAUGAAACGAUUCGGUAGUUAACAAUCUUUCGAUUGAGCUGCUAUCUUAUUGAACGCAGAGAGUGGCUACUGCUUCAAAGCUUUGAAAAGGAGCUGCCCUUCUCUAUCCCGUACUCCUAUUCUUCUUUUCCUCUAAUAAUACAAAGCAUCUGUUUGUAGGUAAACAGGUCAAGCACUAUCUUCAGAACAGUGAGAAGAUGCCUAAAGCUAAGAAUAAGAACGAGGGUAAGAAUCGACGAGGAAUCAAUAAGAUAUAAGAUAAGUGAAUGACAAAGCGUGAGUAUAAUUCUCAACCCGAGAUGAAGGAGGAGGUGUUAGCCUACUUGCUGCAGCUGUCUGCGUCGCUAGUUCUGCCGGUAGCCAUUUGGCUGAUUGCUGCCGGACAGAUUUUUACCUGUUUACGCGGAUAUACUAUCUCCAAUUACCAAGAAAAAGUAGAGGAGAAGCUCUGCUCGACUUUAGUAGAUAAGAUUUCAGAGAAACUGGCCGAUUUAUUUCCCGUAUAUGGUAUCACGCCGUCAAGGAACGCACCCUUUCCUACUAUUCUCGAGCAAUUGCUCGCCACAGUUUCGCAAGAGGAGCGCUUGGCCUACCUCUCCAAUAUGUAUAACAGUUUGAUAGAAAUGGGUAUCGACAGCCCCUGUUUUUAUCCCAUAGUUCAAACAUUUCUUUUUCUAAUGGGCGGCGGCGGCGGGCCCGCUUGACCUCAAUUUUCCAUACCCCUAGCCCCCGGAUGUAGUCCUUGCUUAGUCUUCUAGCGGCGAACCGGGUAAACAACGCGAUCCGAAUAAAAGGAAGUUCGCUGGGAUUGUAUUUAUUCAUUUUCCAGAGGUACUGGUUCGACUCCAGUUCGCGACUACCGUGAUUUCAUUUUAUACGAGCAUCAAAUCAAACCUGUCGGCUAUUUCUGUUUCAUCUCUUUCUAAUCUUCGUUGCGUGCAAAUUCAUAUUUCUCGCGGAAUUCUCCAUUUUAUAGAUCUCAGCAAACAAAUGUACAAAGUGGAUCGCCUAGCAAACGUUGCUGCCUAUGAUAUGCCAACAGGUUCGAAAGAAGCUUUCUGGGAAGCCAUCGGGACCAGGGGAUAUUCUUCUCGAAGACCGUGCUUUUGAUCUCGUCCUCAUCUGGCAUAGCAGUUAGGAAAGCAUUGUCAUCCUCGGAUACCACUGGAGGAAUCGAUUCCAGGAGUUCCGGAUGGGCUUUCCUGGGGCUGGAGGUGUACACAACUUAUCAAAGAAUUGGAAUAUGUACUAAUAAAUCAUGUUGGUCAUCUUGGAUUUCGUAUAAAGAGUUUUUCGAUCUAUGUAUUUGACCCGAGAUUUUUGCUUCCACAUCCUAUAUUGAAGUCACAACGCAUUAUGGAGGUCCCUUUUCAGCUGUAAUUUAUCCCUCUCCCGAUCUCUUUCUUCUCCUGCUGUUCGCUUCGCUUCUUUCUUUCGUUAGCUUCCUUUCUUUUCUCCUGAGAAAAAGAUUGUUUGUUGUGGCAUGCAUGACUAAGCCACCUUUCGAUAGCCUCGGACUCUACAUUAAUCUGGUUGGGAGUAAGACAGGGUUAGAAGCAGACAAGAAGGAGCAGAAGAGGAUCUUUGUUAUCUGCUUACUUUAUGUUUGAGUUUGAUCUCUGACUUGUCUAACUCCAUCUGUACUUUAGCAUUCACUAAUCCAUCACUUCCCUAUCUUAUCUAUCUUAAAUCCAACUUGGCAGUUUCCCUGACCACCCAUAAGAAAAAAAAAGAUGAUUAAAUAGGCAUAAUCUAAAGGAAAUAAGUUUAUUAGAAUAAGAAAGAAAAACAAAACUAAAGAAAGGAUUUCCCAAUCUAUCCCUUGCACAAAAGACUACUUAGAACGCUCAUAAAAAACACAGAAGAAUAAGUCAUCGAAGAAGUAAUAAUGGGGUAGGAAGAGGUAAACUAACUUUAUUGCUAGUCUUUGUCUUUCUAGUGUCCUCAAUUGUCCGCCUCUGAAUGGCUUUGUCAGAGCUUUCUGUCGUUCCGUUCCCUCAGGUCUUGGGGGAGUAGAGCUGCUUCUUUCAACUCGGAGGAACACACCUCAUUGGAGAACUUGUUGUAGUUUCAGGUAUGACUAGGAAAUGCAAUAUACGCUAGGUCAAUCCAUUCCUAUAAGGCCGGUGAGCCGCCGUUAGGCCGUUAAGGCUAAUUACAUGAAGGGAUCCAAGAGAAGGUAGGUAUGGAAUUGGCUUUAGUGCUCUAUUAGGUAAAGGGGUGCUUUAGUAGCCUCCCCUCACUCUCCUUGACCCGUGGACAAACGCCACGUGAUGGACGGCGCCCGGCUCUGACGAAGAACCAGUAAGAUUAGGUAUUGCCUAAUCCGUAAGGUUGUCAUACCCUUAUCAGCUUUCUGACCAAUCCUCCUAUCCUAUGGGAAUGCUUUCCUAAACUCUGAUUGCUCUUGCCGACUCGGAACGAAAAGAUAGCGAGGGAUUGAUAGAUUCCUCGUUGGAUUGGGAGACCAACUCGGAAAGAAAGAAAGAGGCUUGGAUGCUAGGGAUAGCUUGAAGAACGAGUACCGGGAGAAAGGACCUUCUUUUGAGGAAUGAGGAUUAGGAAGCUUACUCGUAGAAAAUUAAGUUGGCACCUACUAAACCAAGUGCCUGAAAAGGGGUAGUGAAAAAGGAGAAGGCAAUCUCGGAUUGUUCAGACACUGCCUUUGGUUCAUUACCCGUUGAGAAGGCAGUAGAAGAGGUAGCAUUCGCAGACCAAAGCAAAGACGGCUGGGGAUUCUUCAUAGCAUAGCAAGAAGGAAGGGCGUGCUUAAUAUAUAAGGACUAGUAGAGGCAGUAGAGGUCCUUCACCAUGAAGAUUGUAUGCUUUCCUUUUUUCACUCAACAAUGAAAGCUAAACGAAACCGAUUCCAAUCUCUUUUCCAUUCAGAAAGAGAAUCGAUUAUGUAGCUCACAGAAGGGGUGAUCAAAGAAGUUGACUAAGUGAAUGGGAAUCCGAUAGCUCUACCAGCCUUGGAAGAGUAGUCAGAGGCAAUUCGCUAAUAUUUAACCUUUUCUAUCAUCUUUCUUUCCUCAAGCAUGAAACGGAGUUGAGCGGUAGGCAUUCCUUUCCAUUACAGUGGGAAAGCGUAUGCGAGUCAUAGAGUUCUUCCAGUAAGGUUUGAGGUCACAGGUACCGAUGCAGUGGAAAAGGAAAACUAGGAUAUAAACAAGACCCAUUUGUUUCAAGUUUAGGGCCCCCUAGUGUUACAAGCUACUGCUUGCGAAGGAAAGAAAGAGUUGCUAAAGCUCCAUGAAAAUAGUCUCCUUAAGAUAACCAUGCAUAAAUUUCUAAAAGUUCUGUUAGGUUCUUAGUAGCAGUCGGCGACCUUUUCUUCUUUUACUUCACAUAGCUUUUCGUCUCCUUGAUAGCUGGAAGUUCUCCAAAAGUAUGAAAAGCAGGAGGACUUUGUACCAUCCAUUCCAGUGUAGUUGAAUUCAGUUCAAGAGCCCAAGGACUCGGAGCACAUCUUUUGUUAUUUCCACUGCUUAAAGUGAUUGUUACGACCACGAAGAAACAACAAAUCCCAACUACGGAUAUAUAAGAGCCAAAACUGGAAAGGGCAUUCCAUCCAGCGUAAGCAUCCGGAUAAUCUGGAAUACGACGUGGCAUACCUGAAAGCCCUAAGAAAUGCAUAGGAAAGAAGGUCAAAUUAACCCCGAAAAAAGUGAUCCAAAAAUGGAUUUGACCUAAAGUUUCAGGGUAUGUCCGACCAAAGAUUUUACCCACCCAAUAGUAAAAUCCUGCAAAUAAAGCAAAAACGGCUCCCAUAGAAAGUACAUAAUGGAAAUGUGCAACCACAUAAUAAGUAUCAUGUAGAGCAAUGUCUAGCCCUGAAUUUGCCAGGACUAUUCCAGUGAGUCCUCCUAUGGUGAACAAAAAGAUGAAUCCUACAGCAAAUAACAUGGGUGUUUUGUAUUGUAUCGAACCCCCCCACAUGGUAGCGAUCCAACUAAAGAUUUUGAUUCCAGUGGGGACAGCUAUGAUCAUGGUAGCUGCGGUGAAGUAGGCACGGGUAUCUACGUCUAAGCCCACAGUAAACAUAUGAUGAGCCCAAACAAGAAAUCCUAAGACACCAAUACUGAUCAUGGCAUAAACCAUGCCUAGAUACCCGAAGACCGGUUUUCCCGAAAAAGUCGAAACGAUAUGACUUAUGAUACCGAAUCCAGGCAGAAUGAGAAUAUACACCUCUGGAUGACCGAAGAACCAAAAGAGAUGCUGGUAUAAAAUUGGGUCUCCCCCUCCAGCGGGAUCAAAAAAGGUUGUAUUAAAGUUUCGAUCGGUUAAUAACAUGGUAAUUGCCCCUGCCAGUACCGGGAGUGAUAAUAAAAGUAGGAAUGCUGUCACUAGAACGGACCACACAAAUAGGGGUAAUCUAUGCAUAGUCAUUCCAGGUCCACGCAUGUUGAAGAUAGUUGUUAUAAAAUUGAUAGAACCUAAAAUGGAUGAAACACCAGAUAGAUGAAGACUAAAAAUUGCUAAAUCAACUGCUCCUCCAGAAUGACUGGUAAUACCACUUAAGGGCGGAUAGACCGUCCACCCAGUGCCGCUACCUACUUCUACUAAGGCUGAGCUUAAUAGGAGCAAGAGACUUGGUGGCAACAACCAGAAUGAAAUAUUAUUUAAUCGUGGAAAUGCCAUGUCAGGUGCACCUAUCAGAAUCGGAACAAACCAAUUACCAAAUCCACCUAUCAUCGCCGGCAUAACCAUAAAAAAGAUCAUUAAAAAAGCAUGAGCUGUUAUUAAAACAUUAUAAAGUUGAUGAUUCCCACCAAGAAUUUGAUCGCCGGGUCGUGCUAAUUCCAUACGAAUCAGUACUGAGAAGCAUGUGCCCAUCACUCCAGCAAUGGCACCGAAAAUGAAAUAGAGAGUCCCUAUAUCCUUGUGGUUUGUGGAGAACAGCCAUCGAACCAGAUUUUUCAUAAAUUUGAGAUUCUUUCGUUUAUUACCUUAUCAGAGAGGGGUUAGGUAUUUAGUAACUCUCGCGCUUUCCUGGAACGGGUUCCAUAGUCUACGAGUUCUUGAGAGUCCCGUGGAACGGUCAAAUUUUUGCUAGUAAACUAGCUCAAGCAGGAAAUUCCAACCUAGCUGAUGGUUUUGCUAGGAACGCUAGCUCAUGGCAGGAAAUCAUACCUUGCCUGAUUCUCCUGCGUAGGAGAGCCCAGGCCUACCAUUGGAUUCGAACCAAUCAGCAUCGUCCUACAAAAGAUAAUGCUCUCACCAAUUAGAGAAGUAGGAAAAUACAACAAACACAUUUCGACAGAACAUAAUUAUUAUUAUAUAAUUGAAUAAAUUCUCAGGAAAAGAGAAACAGUGGUGCAAACUCUACUACAAUAGGGUUUCACAGAUCAAAACUUUCUUCCUCGAAUUGAAGUUUUGGGAGCUACAUUCUAUAUUAAGACAACCCAGAAGCCCUAGGACUAUACUCCAACAAGAUCACGGAACGGACGUUACGACCACUCAACAAAGUCUCGACAAUACACCCAAAUAAUCACAACUUUUUUCUUCGCUACCUUUAGUAUUCGGAUAAACACUCGGACAGUAUUGACAAAUCGCGUGUGUUAAGCAAAUCACAAGACUUCUCUUUUCUUUGCCUCAUUUGAAACUUCUUUAUUAAACCUGACUUCAGUCUAUCAUUUUAAGAAAAGGAAGACUCUUAUUAAACCUGAGGGAAAGUAUAGAGUUAUGACAGAGGCCACAUUUCAUACACUUUAGGCAGGUGAAACACUUCAAACAGGAAACACUUACAGAGGAACAGGAAACAGCUCACCUUACAGAGUUACGCACAACAGAGAGGCAGCGCGGGGCAGUCAAGGAACACAUUCGGCUUUCACAUACAAUUACUUUACUUACCUUACCCUACAGUCUUAGCGAACCUUACAGAUCCUUUUACAAACCUGGAAGCGGGGGAAUACCUAUCAACGGGGGGACCCAUCCGACUCUUCUAUAUAUAUGCCCGGGGGACACAAAGAACUUCUUUCGGGAUCCCAGUGCGAGUCACAUCAAUCAGCUUUCUAACAACCACUCGUACUAUUUUCACACAAAAGAUCCGCCAUUGAUCACUUUUCGGUCACAAUACAGACAUUUAGCAACAGGGGAGAUUAGAGACUAUCGAAGUAAGCCCGACCUAGGCUGAAACCAGCAGCUACAACCAAGUCAGCUGAAAGCAGUAGCUAUAUCUAAGCUCAGCUGAAAACAGUGACACUUCAAAAGCUAGCGUUCCCAGUUCCGAUACAAGACAACCAAGGAGGUUCAGAAUUUAGACUAUCGAAAGGACCUUUAGCCGCUCAUACGUAACGCCUCCUCGGUUACGCCUUCCCUCGCACGGGGCGCCACUACUGAGCUACAAACAAGCUCGGCAGAAGCAGGACUAAGUACGGCUGAAAGCAGGUAUAAGACUUUAGACGGAGGAGCCCAAGCUAGGCUGAAGGCAGACCAAGCGGAGGCUGAAGGCAUACAUUCACUCAGAGCUAUACGCGUUACGGCAGCUGCUACCUUCCUUCAAAGGAGAUACCAAAUAGAGGCUGAAAACAACCAAGUAGGCUGAACAGAACAAUCUAGGCAGAAGCAGCAGACCGGGAGUAGAUCCUUAGCUCUUUGCCCGGGGGCCCCAUAGAACUUCUUGAGCGGAAACUCGAAACGGGGCGGAUCUACAGACCCUCUUUCACGGUGACAGUCCAAGUACCAUCAGACGGGGGUGCAAGUACUCACAUUAUCACGCGGGGCAGAGGGACCAUCUCAUCCAGUCAAUACGGGUCCACCACUUCAUCCUCCCCAGCCAUCGGGUCAGCCAUGCCAAACAGCUAGGACAUCUCAGGACCGGUCAACCAGAGGAGAUCCAUCGCCAACAGGGGCUCCAGUACAAACAGUAGGGAGGCGGAUAGACCAUUUGUCAGUUCCAAUAGCCAAUCAGUCAGGCUAUUUAGCAGUCGGGACAUCCGGAACAUUCUACUAAAAACCAUACGAUACAGAUUUUUAUCUAUUUAAAACAUUGGCAUCAUCCGGGAGUGGGAGUGGUAUACCUCAGACUUUGAGGACCUGAAAGCAGCAGAACUAGAUUUGGUGGACCUUCGUAGCGGAAGAAUAAGACUUUCUUGACCUUCGAAGCAACAGUUUUACCUGACAUCCCAGUGGCAGCAUUCUUUGACUUGGAGGCCCUAAGCGAUCGUCCUACCUCGAAAGGAGUGGCAGCAGCGGCAGGAAUACCCAAGUCAUAGUCUUUUUCGGGAGAGGGCUCGGCAUAGUCUUUAUGCGACAGUACCAGCAUGCCAUAGUCUUUAUGCGACAGUACCAGCAUGCCAUAGUCUUUUAUGCGACAGUAACAGCGUCAUAGUCUUUAUUAUGCGGCUUCAGCAGCACCCGGUUAGGACUUCAACCACAGAAGACCCGUCUUUGCCUUCACGUCAGAAACAACAACGCAUUGAACUUCGACCGCUUGACUUCCAACAGAAGUGGAUGAUUCUUUCGCCUUUCUUCGUUGACCUGACACGACAUUCAAAAUGGAGAGUCCCAAUAGUCCAGAGGUAGCAGCACGAUCAGGGAACCAAAAUGGCUGUCUCGCGCUUCGAAGCCACAGCAUUUAGAGGGCCCUUGGCACAUCUUGCAAUGACAACACGUCUCACCACCCAAACUUGGUUUUCGACGGCGAAUCAGCAAUGUGUGUCAAGCAACCAAUUCUGCUCCUAGGCCAGUUCUGAUCUUAGGAAUUCCCUGAUCCAGAAUAUCUGAGCCGGAAGGUGGCGUUCAAAGACUUAAACGAGUAGUGGGCCAAAGGGCUCUAUAAUGAUAGUUCGCCCUCAGCUUUUGUCCAGGAUUGGCAUUCUCAAAGGAGAAAGAUCUGAUCAGGGAAGGAUUGAUCGAUCAAGAUCAGGAAGAGGAGAACGAGGAACAAUUAACGAAAGAAGGGGAAAGGGCUAAAGCAUCUGCUUCCACUUCCGCUGCAGAAGAAGUUGGGGGAGGUUACAAAGCCCUUAUUUCAACAGACUGUUAACCACUUUAAUGCCUUUAUCCGGCUUUGCAACAAAGUGAUCUUCGAUCGCACUAAGGCGCAUAAGACAGUACACUUCACCGAGAUUCACCAAGUAACCCUACGGAAUUGAUGUUGUGACACUUGAAACGCAUGAAAGGAAUCUAGGAACAAAACAAAGAGUUGCACCCCUUGCAUUUGAAUGCCGGUAUACUGCUCCGCCACUCAGGGCACACUACCAAAGGACUCCAAUCCUCAUCAUUGGGCAAUUCAAGACGCAAGUGGUGUGUAUCAUCUCUAGCCUCCUCGGUGAUGUUUCAUAUGGGUCACUAGAAUCUCCAUCUGGGGCCGAAGAACGUACGAUCAAAGACUUCUGAAGCGUCGUCUAAAGGCUCCGAUCUAAUAAGUUACGUGCGUGAUGUCGAUGAGAUGUCGGCAGGAGAUGUCGGCAAAGAAAGAGGAAGGCGCGCAGAAGGUAGGUAAUAGAUCUCAUACCGAACGUGACCGAGUCCACCCAACCGUACACGAUCCUUGAGUCAAGUAUGCGAAUGAAAAAGAAGGAGUAAUUCGAGCAGGAAGAAGAAAGGCUGACGCUGCAGCUUCAACUUCCGCUGCAAAAGACAGGGGAUGGGGGAGUUUCAAAGCCAUUCUUAUAACGGAUUACUGUACCUUAUAUACCUUUAUUGGCUUUUUCAACUAAAAGUGCUCCGCUCCACUACCACUCAUAAGGUUCCGCCACUACAAUAGGGCACAGUCAUAAGAGAAUCGAGAGCUUUAUCCUGGCUCAGGCAAACGGAACUACCUUAGGUCUCGCUGGGAACCCAGCUCAGGAACCUAAACCACAGUGCUUUCUUAAGGAGUUGCCGAGUCCUACCUCGCUAUCAAAGAUACUAACUGAGGAACUCACCUAUGACCCAAGGGAAGAGCCUAGAAGAAGGUUUCUCACGUUGAUCGUCACCCCUGGGUCUAAGAGACCCCCAAGCUGUCUCACCGGGAUCGAAUCGGGCUCACCUCGGAUCAGGAACAGCUACAAUAUACGCCGCUUAAACAAGCAGAUUAAAGGAAAGAGACCCAUCUAUCUAAGGCUAAAAGAAGGGAAAGAAGCCGUAGCUAGUCGUAGAAGUCAGUGAAGGGGAACAAGCAAGCCGAACCGUAGGCGAGCAAAGCUUUCAUUCAACAGCAGAGGAAGACGUAGAAAGACCAGCAAAAAGAAUGAACACGUGCCAAGAACCCAUUCCAUUCACGGACGCGGGGAAGGAGGAAAGUCAAGGCACAAGUUUCUCUAUUAAGAACCAAGGCCCUACUGAGCUACAUUUACUCUUUACACCAAGAACAGCUCAGAUAUGCGACCCCGGGGACUGGGCUUUGGUCUUCGACCGACGGCUCCUUUUUCGGCAUAUGAAGCAACAAUAAAUAAAAGAGAACUACAGAUGAACGAAGGGAAGAGGUAGAUCAUACAGUUCAAACUCAAACAACAAAGACAUUCUAACAGUUGCCUCGCUUUCAUCCUUAUAAGUGGACAGACUCAUCCGCAUUCUCCGCUUUGAACAGAGUUUGCUUCUUCGUUCGCCUUCCCUCACACUACUGAGCUACAACCAAGCUCGGCAGAAGCAGGACAGAGAUUUAAGAACCGUGAAGUGAGCCCAAACAAGGCAGAAACAGCAGCUGCAACCAAAUAGGCUGAAAACAGUGCGGCAGCACUAGCCGUCCCCAGUAACAGCAGCAGUACGAGCAUUCCUUAGGAGGGUCAAACGACGGACUACGUCCUAUCCUCAGGUGAAUACUUUUACUUCAGUUGGAUACUUUGAUAGUUCACUACUACGAUAGGGGAAUACUAGGCUAGGGAAUGGGAACUACUUGGGAAGUCAUCUCUUUACUUAACGAACUAACCACUCAGGGAUUCAAAUCCACGAUACUCCUACCAUCUGCUUGAUCCAGUUGAAAACUUUACUCCGACUUCACAUCAGCCCUUAGGGUCAACACAGCUCCUCUUAUCCUUUACUCUUUCUAUGCCUGGAUUCCUAUGCCUGUUUUACCUCGAGUUGGAAUUCAGUGGGAGAAAUUCCAACAAAAUUCAGUGGGAGAAAUUCCAACAAAAUUCAGUGGGAGAAAUUCUCCAGAAAACGAAAACGGCGAUUCCAACUCUACAAUCAAGGCAGAACGCAGGGAGGAGAAGAGAAUAGAUUAUAGACGGCGGACCGGACCCAAGCUAGGCUGAAGGCAGGACUCUAUUAAGUACGGCUAAAGGCAGACUCUAUUAAGUACGACUGAAGGCAAACCAAGUAAGUGCGGUUUCAAACAAAGGUGAAGGAAAGGUACGAUCGGUGGACAAGGAAUCGGUUGAGAUCGAAACCAUAUUCGUAGGACGCGUACCCAAUAGCGUUUCCAGGGGCCUCAUCCCGGGGGCAAGCCGGGGCAUCAGUACGCGCUAGGCCUAUCACUCGGAGCCCGGGCGAUCUACUCCUACUCUUUAUUUAGAGGCGGGAAAUCUUACUCUUCUUGAGCGGGGGAUAGACCAAUCUUCUUCAGCGGGAAAUCCAAUCCAUACCUUGGGGGAAAUACAUAGCUUGGUAGACAAUCCAUAGCUUGGUAUACAAUCACUCUACUUCAAGUGGGCUAACUUACUCAUCUUUUGGGAUUGGUCUUUCUUCAAUGUAUAAGUGGAGUAAGGUCUUUUUCCCCACCGAAAGAAAAGAAGGUUUCCAUUCCCAUUCCAGUAGUAAGAAAAGAUCAGAGGCACCGUUGCCUACUUCGCGGGAUCGCCUUACGUAGAAGGACUUGUGAUCCACUCUCGGCUAAGUUUCUAUGGUCGGUCCUCUCUCGAUUAAUAGCUAACUGGAAAGAGAAUCCUCUUUUAUACUUAAUUAUCGAUCAAGAGGGAAGUUCCUAACGUGUUCUUAGGAACGAAGGUCUGUCGAAGGCGGGCGAACGUGUCUUUCUAUGGUACGCUCGGUACGCCUUGUUUCUAUUGUUCUCCGAUAGCUCUAUCAGUGAUUAUUUAAAGUAGUGCUUUUUGUCUGUUACCGGAUAUGUAUAGAAGUUUCCUUAUGGUAUUCCUCUCCGGUGUUGCUGAAUACACGUCACCGGUUCGACUCCUAUUUAUAUUUAGUGGUCCAUUUAUUGAUUGAUGGGCGAAUGGAGCUCGGGAUGCUGAAAAUGUAAAGGCCAAGGCCUCUCUCGGUUGUUGCUUUACCUGUCCUAUUAGACUAGCUAGGCCCUCCUUCGGUAUGUCUUGUUCCUUGGCUUCUCCUUGUUGGAAUUCAUGGUUGAUUGUAACCUAAGGGUUGUUAUAUCACUGUCCUUCUGUGGGGGAGAAAGAGGGGGUGUUGCUAGCUCGGUAGGCACACAGGCGCGGGUUCCGGUUGAAGAGUCAAAUUCUCCUUCUUGUUUUUAUUGUGAGAAUCUUUCUCUAUACUCUAUAUAAGAUGCCAUCUGUUUUCUUUACUCGUUUCCUCCUUAGCUUUGAAUCUAUCUGUGACUGUUCUCCUUCUUCUCUAAGGUCUGUUCCUUUGUUCCUUCUUUGUGCCUUCAUUUGCUUUCUUUUGUUUGACUGUUAACUUAAAGUAUCUACCUUCUUCCUUUGGUUUCUUGUAGUUCUAUCAGUUAGUUCUUCAAUGGUUAGCUCUGCCUGAGCUGGAGUUGUCCCUCCAGCGAGAGUUGCUUUCUUCCUUGCUUGAUCGGUAGGAGUUGCCGAGAUAGCAGGUAUUAGCUGUUAGCCGUCGGACUCAUUUAAAGGAGUCCUAUCGGGCUACACUAGUCUAAGGGCAGUUGAGUAACCGAUUCCUACGCUUCCUCCGCUUACCUCCGUCGCUUAACUAUUAAUACGUCGCUUACCCGCCUCCGCUUACCCGCCUCCGUCGCUUGUUAUCUGCUUCCCUUAGCUAAAACGUUAGGCGAUAGUGAAAGCCUUCACUCUCUUAUAUUUACGUACACGUGGGAAGAAGACCUAGUAAUUGAGUGACAGCAUUCCUGGACCAAUUCUAUAAACAGCCAAUCAGGCAUAUCAUGGUACAGGUGAAAGAAACUUAUCCAAUACAGAUCUUAUCACCUGCCCAUCAACGCUCAACCGUCUGCUCCUCUCGUGCGUGUAGGAAUAAUCAAAAGAGGAGACAGCAUGCCUAUUAUUAAGAACCCAAUUCUACUAAAAACGAUAACAACGAUUCGAGGUUCUCAAUCAAGGCAGAAAGCAAGAAACCCAUCCAGCUAGGAGGAAAGCAAAUCAAGGAGACCAAUCAGACAUCUAGAUUCUAUAGUACGCGUAUGUGUACGUACCCAGGCUAAAACAGCAAAUCAAACUUGGCUAUCGUUUGAGAGCAACCUAUCGCUAAACACAAACCAAUCCUUUUACACAGUCCAUUGAAAGGAAGAAAACAAGGGUGGAAAUUCAUGUUCCUUUUUACACAGACCUCCAAAACUCGAAUAGGCCAAUCUUACUUUUCCUCAUUCUAGAGGUUGCAAGGGAAGAAAACAAGAUUGGUUCUUUAUGAAACCUGGUUCAAAGCAACGAACUCCGCUCUCUCCCGUGGGCACAUUCCUAUUAUAGUAAACGGGGACUUCUCUCUUUAUUCCUAUGCGUGCUUUACUUGACUCCUCUGAAUUCAGAACAAUGACUUUUAGGCUAUUUUUCCCCACCGGCAAGAA
rnacentral:lncRNA from 1 species